rnacentral:rRNA from 1 species
UGCGUAGGCGGAAUAUUAAGUCAGUGGUGAAAUCCUGCGGCUCAACCGUAGAACUGCCAUUGAUACUGAUAUUCUCGAAUGUAGUUGAGGUAGGCGGAAUGUGUAAUGUAGCGGUGAAAUGCUUAGAUAUUACACAGAACACCGAUUGCGAAGGCAGCUUACUAAACUAUGAUUGACGCUGAGGCACGAAAGCGUGGGGAGCGAACAGGAUUAGAUACCCUGGUAGUCC